rnacentral:misc_RNA from 1 species
CCUUGUGGAGGAGGACGCCGAAGGUGGGGCUAAUGACUGGGGUGAAGUCGUAACAAGGUAGCCGUACCGGAAGGUGCGGCUGGAUCACCUCCUAACAGGGAGACAACAAAAUGUUAAAUAUUAAUUUUGUCACCUUAGGUCGAUCGGUAUCUCACAUUCUUAAUUUAUUAAGGAUUUUAUUUCCUAAGUUUUUUCUAGGUCACACCCAUUAGUUUUCCUGGGCCAUUAGCUCAGGUGGUUAGAGCGCACCCCUGAUAAGGGUGAGGUCCCUGGUUCAAGUCCAGGAUGGCCCAUAUCUCUAUGUUGGGGGUAUAGCUCAGUUGGUAGAGCGCCUGCUUUGCAAGCAGGAUGUCAGCGGUUCGAGUCCGCUUACCUCCACUGAUUACCACCUCUUCCAUAAUUUAUAAAAAGGAAAUGUUUUUAGGUGUGAUCAAAUUCUGAACGAAUCUAGCUUCCUAAUAAAACUUAUUAAGAUGCUGGACUCAUUGAAUUAAAUUCAUUGUUUUCAGAGAAUCUUGACAACUGCAUAGAUUAUUUUUAAAGACAAUAAGCAUCUUUAAUGAUGCAGAUUUAUUAUUUGUGCGAAUGCAUUAAUAACAAUUCUAUUAAGCUGAUGCUUCAAUUUUUGAAGUUAUUGGUCAAGCUACAAAGGGCUCACGGAGGAUACCUAGG